rnacentral:rRNA from 1 species
AUACAGAGGGUGCAAGCGUUAUUCGGAAUUACUGGGCGUAAAGCGCGCGUAGGCGGAUGAUUAAGUCAGUUGUGAAAGCCCUGGGCUCAACCUAGGAACUGCAUCUGAUACUGGUCAUCUAGAGUUUAAGAGAGGGAAGUGGAAUUCCAGGUGUAGCAGUGAAAUGCGUAGAUAUCUGGAGGAACAUCAGUGGCGAAGGCGACUUCCUGGCUUAGAACUGACGUUGAGGUGCGAAAGCGUGGGUAGCGAACGGGAUUAGAAACCCUAGUAGUCC